GAUUGCUUCUCUCGAUGUUAGCGGCGGACGGGUGAGUAACACGUGGGUAACCUACCUAUAAGACUGGGAUAACUCCGGGAAACCGGGGCUAAUACCGGAUAAUAUUUUGAACCGCAUGGUUCAAUAGUGAAAGACGGUUUCGGCUGUCACUUAUAGAUGGACCCGCGCCGUAUUAGCUAGUUGGUAAGGUAACGGCUUACCAAGGCGACGAUACGUAGCCGACCUGAGAGGGUGAUCGGCCACACUGGAACUGAGACACGGUCCAGACUCCUACGGGAGGCAGCAGUAGGGAAUCUUCCGCAAUGGGCGAAAGCCUGACGGAGCAACGCCGCGUGAGUGAUGAAGGUCUUCGGAUCGUAAAACUCUGUUGUUAGGGAAGAACAAAUUUGUUAGUAACUGAACAAGUCUUGACGGUACCUAACCAGAAAGCCACGGCUAACUACGUGCCAGCAGCCGCGGUAAUACGUAGGUGGCAAGCGUUAUCCGGAAUUAUUGGGCGUAAAGCGCGCGUAGGCGGUUUCUUAAGUCUGAUGUGAAAGCCCACGGCUCAACCGUGGAGGGUCAUUGGAAACUGGGAAACUUGAGUGCAGAAGAGGAGAGUGGAAUUCCAUGUGUAGCGGUGAAAUGCGCAGAGAUAUGGAGGAACACCAGUGGCGAAGGCGGCUCUCUGGUCUGUAACUGACGCUGAUGUGCGAAAGCGUGGGGAUCAAACAGGAUUAGAUACCCUGGUAGUCCACGCCGUAAACGAUGAGUGCUAAGUGUUAGGGGGUUUCCGCCCCUUAGUGCUGCAGCUAACGCAUUAAGCACUCCGCCUGGGGGAGUACGACCGCAAGGUUGAAACUCAAAGGAAUUGACGGGGGACCCGCACAAGCGGUGGAGCAUGUGGUUUAAUUCG
rnacentral:rRNA from 2 species